UACGAAGGGGGCUAGUGUUGCUCGGAAUCACUGGGCGUAAAGCGCACGUAGGCGGACUCUUAAGUCGGUGGUGAAAUCCUGGAGCUCAACUCCAGAACUGCCUUUGAUACUGAGAAGCUUGAGUCCGGGAGAGGUGAGUGGAACUGCGAGUGUAGAGGUGAAAUUCGUAGAUAUUCGCAAGAACACCAGUGGCGAAGGCGGCUCACUGGCCCGGUACUGACGCUGAGGUGCGAAAGCGUGGGGAGCGAACAGG
rnacentral:rRNA from 1 species